UAAGGGUCGUUGUAGACUACGACGUUGAUAGGCUGCAGGUAUACGUGUCGAAAUACACUCAGCUGAGCAGUACUAAUUACCCAACAGCUUGCACA
rnacentral:rRNA from 1 species